rnacentral:rRNA from 1 species
UGGGGAAUAUUGGACAAUGGGCGGAAGCCUGAUCCAGCCAUGCCGCGUGUGUAAAGAAGGCCUUUUGGUUGUAAAGCACUUUAAGCGAGGAGGAGGCUACUAGUACUAAUACUACUGGAUAGUGGACGUUACUCGCAGAAUAAGCACCGGCUAACUCUGUGCCAGCAGCCGCGGUAAUACAGAGGGUGCGAGCGUUAAUCGGAUUUACUGGGCGUAAAGCGUGCGUAGGCGGCUGAUUAAGUCGGAUGUGAAAUCCCUGAGCUUAACUUAGGAAUUGCAUUCGAUACUGGUCAGCUAGAGUAUGGGAGAGGAUGGUAGAAUUCCAGGUGUAGCGGUGAAAUGCGUAGAGAUCUGGAGGAAUACCGAUGGCGAAGGCAGCCAUCUGGCCUAACACUGACGCUGAGGUACGAAAGCAUGGGGAGCAAACAGG